GCAAGAUACCACGGGCGCACGGCGGAUGCCUUGGCACAGGGAGCCGAUGAAGGACGCGGCAAGCUGCGAUAAUCCCCGGCGAGGAGCACACAUCCUUCGACCCGGGGGUCUCCGAAUGGGCGAACCCAUCCACAGCAGUGUGGAUAUCCCCACCCCGAACACAUAGGGGCGGGGAGGACGACCCGGGGAACUGAAACAUCUAAGUACCCGGAGGAGAGGAAAUCAAUCUCGAGACUCCC
rnacentral:rRNA from 1 species